rnacentral:lncRNA from 1 species
UACAAGGGACAUCCAAUCUAGGGAUGAGAAUAACUACAGGAAUGAGAGAAGUGAUGAAUUUAGUGGCUUAUACUGAUUCAGAUUGGGGUGGCUCAUCAGAUAGGAGGUCAAUUACAGGAUCAAGCAUAUGCAUGGUAUGGCAAUAAUUUAUUGUCUUGAUCAACUAAAAAGCAGCCAGCAAUAUCAAAUUCAAGCUCAAAGACAGAGUUUAAGGCCAUGGCUCAUGUUAC